CCUCGGCGCACACGUGAAAGCUCCAGAUCCAGGCGGCGGCCGCAAGACAGCAAGAAGCCGAGGGAGUGGAGGCAGAAGGGAGACAAACCCGGGAAGGAUGCUUUGCGUACAAGUUACAUAGCGAUCAGUGCAUUUUUUUUUCCUCCAGUUUCGGAAGUAAAGUGUUGUUUUAAAAGAGAUGAUGCAUUAUCUAUUCUUGGAUUUUUUUAUAAGGCAAACUGUGGGCCUCGCUGUUGCCAUGGGAUCUUCUUUGUGCCAACUCUCAGAACUGUGUGGGAACAGUUUUAUUUCCUUCCCUUCAGGUUUCUUUCUUCCCCCCCCCUUUUUUUCUUCUCUUUUUAUUCCCCCCCCCCCCAUUUUGAAGCGCUGUAGCAAAAUGUAACUGCAUUAUUGCCAAUUAAGACUAACAGCAGCUGCAAGGUGCAGCUAAUUAGAAAUGUUAAUUACUUCACAAAAUAAAUAGUCGUUUGCAGAUG